GACGAACGCUGGCGGCGUGCUUAACACACGCAAGUCGAACGAUGAUGCCCAGCUUGCUGGGUGGAUUAGUGGCGAACGGGUGAGUAACACGUGAGUAACCUGCCCCUGACUCUGGGAUAAGCGUUGGAAACGACGUCUAAUACUGGAUAUGACUACCGGCCGCAUGGUCUGGUGGGGGAAAGAUUUUUUGGUUGGGGAUGGACUCGCGGCCUAUCAGCUUGUUGGUGAGGUAAUGGCUCACCAAGGCGACGACGGGUAGCCGGCCUGAGAGGGUGACCGGCCGCACUGGGACUGGGACACGGCCCAGACUCCUACGGGAGGCAGCAGUGGGGAAUAUUGCACAAUGGGCGAAAGCCUGAUGCAGCAACGCCGCGUGAGGGAUGACGGCCUUCGGGUUGUAAACCUCUUUUAGUAGGGAAGAAGCGAAAGUGACGGUACCUGCAGAAAAAGCACCGGCUAACUACGUGCCAGCCGCCGCCGUAA
rnacentral:rRNA from 1 species